GGCGCUAUAGCUAUGUUGGACACUCUCAUAUAAUAUAAUAUAGAUAUACCGAACCGUAUCGGGCGUAUUUGAUGUUUAACGUUUAUUAUUUUUCUUACGUAGGUAGGGUAUAUUAUACACUAUCGGGUAUACUUUUUCUAUGAUACGACGGAGGACGCCUCUUCCGCGUGAGAUUUUCGUUUAUUUGUUUGCGCGUUUAAAACGUAUGAGAUACGAAAUGUAUAAUUAUAAUAUUUAUAAGCCCUGACGCGGGUAUGUAUAAUACGUAUUUAUGGAAACGCGUUUGUACAGGAUACCACGGUGUAUACAAUAAUGUAAAAGAGUAAGAACAAACAGCGCGCGCGCGCGCGCGCGGAUAUAAAGGAAAAGAGGAUAAUAUUAUUGCAGAAAAAAAAAAAA